AACGAACGCUGGCGGCAGGCUUAACACAUGCAAGUCGAACGCAUCGCAAGAUGAGUGGCAGACGGGUGAGUAACGCGUGGGGACAUACCCUUUUCUACGGAAUAGCUCUGGGAAACUGGAAUUAAUACCGUAUACUCCCUACGGGGGAAAGAUUUAUCGGGGAAGGAUUGGCCCGCGUUGGAUUAGCUAGUUGGUGGGGUAAAGGCCUACCAAGGCGACGAUCCAUAGCUGGUCUGAGAGGAUGAUCAGCCACAUUGGGACUGAGACACGGCCCAAACUCCUACGGGAGGCAGCAGUGGGGAAUAUUGGACAAUGGGCGCAAGCCUGAUCCAGCCAUGCCGCGUGAGUGAUGAAGGCCUUAGGGUUGUAAAGCUCUUUCACCGAUGAAGAUAAUGACGGUAGUCGGAGAAGAAGCCCCGGCUAACUUCGUGCCAGCAGCCGCCGUAAUAC
rnacentral:rRNA from 1 species